rnacentral:lncRNA from 1 species
UCUUUUUGUAGUAGUGAAUGUGAAUAGAGCAUAGAAGGAACUAAAUUCAGGCACACUGGUAUUCAGAUCCAAGCAAAAAACAUUAGUGUAGUCCUAGAAGUCAUUGACCUGAUUUAUGACCUGAAUUAUUAUAUUCCUCCAGGGUUUCAGUGAUGACAUGCUUGCCACGUGCUGUCUGUUUAAUACAGUUCUUUGUCUUUCUCAGAAUUUUUCUGUAGAAGUCAGCAUUUGUGCAAAGGAAAACUAAGGGAAGAUUAGAAAGACCAGGACCAUACUAGGCCCAGCAUACAAAUCAUUCAGCCAACAUGGCUUUUGUGUGGUCACCAUUGGUACAUCUGUGCCUUCUGCUUUCCACCCUCACUCACAAAACCUCUUUGUUUUCCCCUGGAAUAUCAGGAUGCUUCACAAAAUUGCACAUGAGCAUAGGCUUGAGCCUGGGGUUUGCAGCAGCAAGGCUUCAGUGUUGAUUGUGAGCCAUUCUGAUGUUUUCCACUGAUUACCAUGCAUGUUUCUCUCCUACACAACAUCUAAAAUGAUUCCUCAUGUUUCUGUUGUCCUCUCUCCUAAUACAAGAGAAAAGGGAAUUUCCUAAUACUGAAAGGCAGAUGAGAAACACUCUCCAGGCAAAGCAUGAAUAGCCUGUAGCCAACUUAUUUCACAAUAUUCCUCCAUGUCAACAUCUUUCCUAGAUUCCCCAAAUGAUUAUGCAUUCCUGCUGAUGAAGAAAAUACCCAGAGGUAUCAUAAUGCCACGAGCUUUGGUGGGAUAUGUCUCUUCAUUCUUCCUUCAAGGUCCCAUUAGUAAUCAACAAUUCAAGAGCCUUACAGGUUCCCUUACUCAGAGCAAGAGCUUAUUUUAAACUUGAUUUACCUGUUCCUUCUCAAACCAUCUACCAGAAACAGAAAUUUUACUUUAAAAAUACAUUAAUACAAAGCUGGGGGCAAGAGUUAAUGACAGUCAUUUCUACCUUUCUCUAAGUACUGACUGAACAUGUAAGGAUUCUGAGAAAUUCUUGCUUCUAACAGUAUGCAUCCUUCAUUGCAACGUGAGGAAUGAGGUGAGCUUCCUUUAUUUUCCAGGAAGACAGGCUUUAGAGGACUUAACAUUGCAAAGGAGUCAUAGGGUAAAAUAACAAUAGUACCCUGCUUUCCUUUACUAUUUCACCCCAGGUUGCCAGCACACCUAAUAUGCAGCUGCAUUAUGACAAAAUCAAUCAAAAAGAAGCAUUGAGGCCCUUCAGCCGUAACAGCCACACAAUGUGUGAAUCAGUGCCAGGGGGACUCAGUGUGUGUGUCCAGUUUCAGCAUUUCCCUUUUGAAAAAAGCCCCAAAUAUUAACUCUUGACUGCUUCUGAAAUCUUGAACAUAAAUAUCCCU